UGGGGAAUCUUCCGCAAUGGACGAAAGUCUGACGGAGCAACGCUGCGUGUAUGACGAAGGCCUUCGGGUUGUAAAGUACUGUCUUUGGGGACGAACGGUAUCUAUGUAAAUAAUGUAGAUACAUGACGGUACCCAAGGAGGAAGCCCCGGCUAACUACGUGCCAGCAGCCGCGGUAAUACGUAGGGGGCGAGCGUUGUCCGGAAUCAUUGGGCGUAAAGGGCGCGUAGGCGGGUCAUUAAGUCUGGUGUGAAAGGCAGGGGCUCAACCCCUGGAAGGCACCGGAAACUGGUUAUCUUGAGGACAGGAGAGGAAAGCGGAAUUCCACGUGUAGCGGUGAAAUGCGUAGAUAUGUGGAGGAACACCAGUGGCGAAGGCGGCUUUCUGGACUGUAACUGACGCUGAGGCGCGAAAGCGUGGGGAGCAAACAGGAUUAGAUACCCUGGUAGUCCACGCCGUAAACGAUGAGUGCUAGG
rnacentral:rRNA from 1 species